rnacentral:lncRNA from 1 species
UUCUAGAGAGAACUACAUUAUUUGUGAGAACGUGAGAACCAUCAAAUCUAAUGCAUUCACUGUAAAAAUUAAUGCAUUCGCUGUUAAAAUUAAUGCACUCAAAAAAAUAAAAAAAAUUGCUCCCUUCAGGAUUCGAACCCAGGAUCUGCAUUCAUCCAACAAGAUGAUACAUCCACCGUAGAUCUUGAUAAUCGAAUGACUGAAAAUGGUUCUCCG